rnacentral:rRNA from 1 species
AGAGUUUGAUCAUGGCUCAGAAUCAACGCUGGCGGCGUGCCUAACACAUGCAAGUCGAACGCGAAAGCCCCGCAAGGGGUGAGUAGAGUGGCAAACGGGUGAGUAACACGUGGGUGACCUGCCUUCGAGUGGGGGAUAACGUCCCGAAAGGGACGCUAAUACCGCAUAACAUCCUGCCUUUGAAGAGGUGGAGAUCAAAGCUGGGGAUCGCAAGACCUAGCGCUGGAAGAGGGGCCCGCGCCUGAUUAGCUAGUUGGUGGGGUAAUGGCUCACCAAGGCAACGAUCAGUAUCCGGCCUGAGAGGGCGGACGGACACACUGGGACUGAGACACGGCCCAGACUCCUACGGGAGGCAGCAGUGGGGAAUUGUUCGCAAUGGGCGCAAGCCUGACGACGCAACGCCGCGUGGAGGAUGAAGACCUUCGGGUCGUAAACUCCUUUCGAUCGAGACGAACGGCCUCCGGGUGAACAAUCCGGAGGAGUGACGGUACCGAGAGAAGAGC